rnacentral:tRNA from 1 species
GUAGACAUAGUUUAACAUAAAACAUUAGAUUGUGAUUCUAAGAACAGGGGUUAAACUCCCCUUGUCCACCG